AGAAAGACAUGUUUGCUUCCCCUUCCGCCAUGAGUAUAAGUUUCCUGAGGCCUCCCCAGCCAUGUGGAACUGGACAUGGUCACCCAGGCUGGAGCACGGUGGUGCAAUCACAACUCACUGCAGCCUCAAACUUCUGGGUCCAAGGGAUCCUCACAUCUCAGCCUGCUGAGUAGAGCCUCUCAGCCUGUGGCAUGAUUCACUGAAAUACAUCAAAUAUGACAGAAGAUGUGAGCAUUUGGAAACUUACAUCAGCCAUCAUCAAAUUAAAAAGCUGGAAAGUGCUAUCAGCUGGCUUGCUCAUCACUGAGUGACCUGAAGUGAUGGAUGACGGAGAGGAGGUUGCUGUGAGGGUAGAGGUGGCUCACUACCCUGCAGGAGCAAUGCAAAGAGAGACUAUGCCCAAGACCAUCUCCCCGGGGGGGAUGGGUGGCAUUCCUGCCUUCCUUCCACCAACAAAUGUUGACUGUGCCAUGCACUGGGAUGACAGAGAUGACUCAGAUGUGCCCUUGUCCUCAAUGUGUUCAUGGUUGGAUGAGGAGAACACCAGUCUCACUAGUGACUGAAGGCUAUGACAAAGACUCCAGCCUCAAACUUGAGGAAGGAAGUUCAUGUUUCUUCCUGGGUUGGCCAAUAGAAAGUGUUAUUUGUGGCCGGGCAUGGUGGCUCACGCUUGUAAUCCCAGCACUUUGGGAAGCCAAGGCGGGUGGAUCACAAGGUCAAGAGAUCAAGACCAUCCUGGCCAACAUGGUGAAACCCUGUCUCUACUAGAGAUACAAAAAAAUUAGCUGGGUGUGGUGGCAUGCACCUGUAGUCCCAGCUACUCAGGAGGCUGAGGCAGGAGAAUCGCUUGAACCUGGGAGGCGGAGGCUGCAGUGAGCCGAAAUCGCACCACUGCACUCCAGCCUGGGUGACAGAGUGGGACUCCAUCUCAAAAAAAAAAAAAAAAAAAAAAAAAAAAAAAAAAAAAAA
rnacentral:lncRNA from 1 species